AUCCAGUUGACGAGUCUCAAAUAGGACGAAAUGCGCAUCCUGGAU
rfam:Schistosoma mansoni strain Puerto Rico chromosome 6, complete genome